CCUAGAUAUAUAAAGUACCGCAAUUACCGCCAUAUUGGCGCCAAAACUAGCGGCAAAUUUAAAAAGGAGGCCAACAUUUCGCUGUUUCGGCUUUUUAAGCAGCUGGUCGGUCCGGCGCCAAUAUGGCCGACCAACAUUGACAGGCAAGCCGUAAAAUAAAAUAUUUAUUAAUUGUAAUAGAAUUACGUUUAUUAUCUACAGUUUACCUUCAUUUUAACGCUUAUAUAUGUUAAGAGGUUAUAAACGAAUGGUUUCCGUACAAGUGUUUUUCAUUUGUAUUAGCAUUUAUUUUAUGUUACCUUUUAGCGCAAAGUACGCCAACAGAAUACUUAAUUCAGUCGAAACAAUUGGAAAAACUUUGUUUGUUGAUGAGAACGGGUUACCUAUACCAUAAGUAAACUUUCCCUAUUAUACCAGUUAUGCUGUAGUUAGUUUUGACAAAUAAGCAUGAUUUAACAAAAGCCCGGAACUAUGAA
rnacentral:lncRNA from 1 species